GACGAACGCUGGCGGCGUGCCUAAUACAUGCAAGUUGAGCGCCGAAGGUUGGUACUUGUACCAACUGGAUGAGCAGCGAACGGGUGAGUAACGCGUGGGGAAUCUGCCUUUGAGCGGGGGACAACAUUUGGAAACGAAUGCUAAUACCGCAUAAAAACUUUAAACACAAGUUUUAAGUUUGAAAGAUGCAAUUGCAUCACUCAAAGAUGAUCCCGCGUUGUAUUAGCUAGUUGGUGAGGUAAAGGCUCACCAAGGCGAUGAUACAUAGCCGACCUGAGAGGGUGAUCGGCCACAUUGGGACUGAGACACGGCCCAAACUCCUACGGGAGGCAGCAGUAGGGAAUCUUCGGCAAUGGACGAAAGUCUGACCGAGCAACGCCGCGUGAGUGAAGAAGGUUUUCGGAUCGUAAAACUCUGUUGGUAGAGAAGAACGUUGGUGAGAGUGGAAAGCUCAUCAAGUGACGGUAACUACCCAGAAAGGGACGGCUAACUACGU
rnacentral:rRNA from 1 species